CGUCAAGGACAUUGCGACGCGCUGCCGGAGAUGUGCGGGACUCCCGUGCCGUUUCCUAUUAGCCGCAACGUCGACUGCACCCAGCUCUAGUUUGGGGUCAAGAUGAUGGAGGUGAAAAUAGGGUUUUAAAUUUGAAAGAAGGUUUUCUAUUAAUAAGAGUUGAGAGAGCUUUUAUUGCGUAAGAAUGCAAGUCCACGUGUGUGGGUGUUGGGCUGUGACUGUGAACCCAAUGUUGUGGGCCUUGUAUGAAAUCAGUGAAUAAAUAAAGAAAUUUAUGGUUUCUGCCUGAGAA